rnacentral:rRNA from 1 species
CCUACGGGAGGCAGCAGUAGGGAAUCUUCCGCAAUGGACGAAAGUCUGACGGAGCAACGCCGCGUGAACGAUGAAGGCCUUCGGGUCGUAAAGUUCUGUUGUUAGGGAAGAACAAGUGCUAGUUAAAUAAGCUGGCACCUUGACGGUACCUAACCAGAAAGCCACGGCUAACUACGUGCCAGCAGCCGCGGUAAUACGUAGGUGGCAAGCGUUGUCCGGAAUUAUUGGGCGUAAAGCGCGCGCAGGCGGUUUCUUAAGUCUGAUGUGAAAGCCCCCGGCUCAACCGGGGAGGGUCAUUGGAAACUGGGAAACUUGAGUGCAGAAGAGGAAAGUGGAAUUCCAAGUGUAGCGGUGAAAUGCGUAGAGAUUUGGAGGAACACCAGUGGCGAAGGCGACUUUCUGGUCUGUAACUGACGCUGAGGCGCGAAAGCGUGGGGAGCAAACAGGAUUAGAUACCCCGGUAGUCCACGCUGUAAACGAUGAGUGCUAAGUGUUAGAGGGUUUCCGCCCUUUAGUGCUGAAGUUAACGCAUUAAGCACUCCGCCUGGGGAGUACGGUCGCAAGACUGAAACUCAAAGAUAGUCGCGNGNGAGNGCGACGACGACGACGACGGAGGAGGAG